AUGGACCACACACGUGCAUAUGUAAAGAUGGUUAAAGAUUUCAGUGUCCUAAUCUUCUCCCCAAAUUCUUAUAUAAACUGGCCCACAAGGGGAGAGAGCGGCUUUAGUCAACAGUCGGAAGGAUGUGAACCAAUCCUACGGGGAAACAGAGUCACACAUCUGAUCCACGUGCAAAAUGACUCAAGGAGAUGGAGAGAGAAACUGCUCGGUAACAUUAAAUACAAACCAAACUUUAAUAUGAGAGUGCAGUGUAUUGGGCUAAAUUCUGCUUUGGUGUCACGCCUGAGUGUCUCCACGUGACAGAUGAACAGAUGGAGCGCUUUGUUUCGAGUCUCCAGAUUUUUGGAAGGGGCUGUGAACAGCAGUAUUGCCAAACCCAACUGAAAAUACUCAGAAAUCAAGAGAGUCUGACUCCUCCCCACCUAGAUCAAGAGUAGCUCAAAUCUCAGGAGGCUUAAAAAAAAAGUUGGGUUGUAUUUGCCUUUCUGUUGCACUUGCCUCAGGUUUUCAAACUUUUUUUUCUGCAACCACAAGGGCUGAAAACAUAUUUUUAAAAGUGAAAUCUGAAAUUCUUAGGUAAUCACUGGAUCUCAGAUUCUGGGACUUUAAGAAAAACACCAAAUACCACAGGAUGCAUCACUGCAGCACAAUAUCUUAUGACUCUGGACAAGGACAUCAGAACUGUUUGACAGUUCAGGGUUUUUCACCUGUAUUCUGGAAGUCCAUAUAUACAGCUCAUGGUGUUCUCCAGAUUGGAGAAUCUGCAAUGACCAGAGAUCAGUUUUUGAAAAAAUUGUCAUUUUAAAUAUUUAAAUGAGUAAUGAAAUCCUUGUAGGAUCCCCUGCAUUUUUCAGUUUCAUAUUAAGUUUAGUUUGCUUGUGUUCAUGUGUUCAAAUUUCUGAGCAUGGCAGAAUUUUGGAUUGAAAAAGAAUAAUUAUUGUGGAGGAGUUCUUAGGGAGAAGAUGGAAGUCUUGGCAGUUAUAUAGGUGGAUUUGGGAUUUUUGCCAGCUGGGAAAGUGAGGGAGGGUUUGUAAGAAAAGCACAGUGGCUAUUUAUUAAAAUAAUCAUCAGUGAAAUAGUUAACAAGGUUGACCAUUAGAUUUGGAUGCCAUUGACCUGAAUGAGGAAAUGUAUACCUCUUGGAGCUAUUAUUUCAGGCUGUCUGCAAACUCGGCAAUCAUUGCUGUAUUGUUUUGCAUGUGAUUCACCUUUUAGGAAGGUUUUCUUUGCAACAAAGAGGUCUAGCAUUUAGAUAAACUUGGAUUUAGAAGCACACUUCUGUGGUAAGGAAUGGAUCUACUUCAAAUUUCUAUGGCCAUCAGAUUAAAGAACCUGCUUUUAAGGAAAUCUUAUUGCAUUGCUUCUUAUGUGCUUGCUAUAUAAGCUAAUGCUUUGCAUUGGAGAGCUCUGGGGAAUAGUGUAAACUGAUAGUGUUAAAACUAAAUACUGAGAUUUCAGUCCUCAGUGGUUUUUAGUCUCAUUGGUUUCUAGAUUCAUAGUGAACCUGAGUCUUCAACCAACCAAGUUUUUGUGUGCAUGCAUGUUUCUGACAGCCAUAUUUAUAAAAGUUAAGCGUGUGUGUGUGUUUCCAAAUAACGUAUGUUACAAUUUCCAUUUCUUGUUAUGCGACAGUCAAGGUUCUCAACACUGGUGUUAAGUAUCACGUGAAACUGAACAAGAAAAAUGCAGCUUUGCAUCAGAUAGUCAGGGAUAGUUUAUUUCCAGUGACAGUUUUGCUUGGGCAAACCACCCAACCUGCUAGCUCAGUUCCUUUCAACCAACAGGUUUAUCGGGUGCAAAUUACUUGAGGAGGAGCAAAGGAGAGCGGUGACUUAUUUCUUACAUCUCAAUCGUAUUUCCACCUAUGUUUCCUCAGGGGGAGGAAGGUAAGAGGGUGGCAGAAGACAGGGGAAAAGAGAUGCAGAAAGAUGAAGAGGGGAGAGAGAAAAAGGAGAGAAGGGAAAAGGAACCUACAUUUGAAAGUUCAGUUCACUGUGCAGUAGGAACUGUUACAAAAGUUUGUAUAAAAUCAGUGUUUGUCUGUCUGUAGCUUGUGUGUGUAUAUGUGCGUGCACUUGUAUAAAGAUGUCAUGAAGAUCACUAUCUAGUGCCAUGCAAAAAUAACAGCGAUUGUUGUAUUGCUUGUAAGUUUGUAGAUUCAGUAAAAUUAUUAUUAGGCAUUGUGUAUGGUGCCAUGUGCACAACUAAGAGGCCUAUAGCAGAGUUUAAGUGGAGAAUAAAAGAAAUGAAGAAGGAGGGAAAGUAUUGAAG
ensembl:lncRNA